CCUACGGGAGGCAGCAGUAGGGAAUAUUGCUCAAUGGGGGAAACCCUGAAGCAGCAACGCCGCGUGGAGGAUGAAGGUUUUCGGAUUGUAAACUCCUUUUGUUAGAGAAGAUAAUGACGGUAUCUAACGAAUAAGCACCGGCUAACUCCGUGACAGCAGCCGCGGUAAUACGGAGGGUGCAAGGGUUACUCGGAAUCACUGGGCGUAAAGGGCGCGUAGGCGGGAUAGCAAGUCAGAUGUGAAAUCCUAUGGCUUAACCAUAGAACUGCAUUUGAAACUGUUAUUCUAGAGUAUGGGAGAGGUAGGUGGAAUUCUUGGUGUAGGGGUAAAAUCCGUAGAGAUCAAGAGGAAUACUCAUUGCGAAGGCGACCUGCUAGAACAUAACUGACGCUGAUGCGCGAAAGCGUGGGGAGCAAACAGGAUUAGAUACCCUAGUAGUC
rnacentral:rRNA from 1 species